rnacentral:rRNA from 1 species
CAAUAGCGUAUAUUAAAGUUGUUGCAGUUAAAAAGCUCGUAGUUGGAUUUCUGGUUGAAGCGACCGGUCGGGCGUUGAUUCGUCUGCACUGGAGUCGGUUUUGGCCAUCCUCUAGGAAAGUGCGUCUGGUAUUAAGUUAUCGGGCGUAUGAUCCUGGUCUUUUACUGUGAAAAAAUUAGAGUGUUUAAAGCAGGCCUUCGCCUUGAAUACAUUAGCAUGGAAUAAUAAGAUAGGACUUUGGUCUAUUUUGUUGGUUUGCAGACCGAAGUAAUGAUUAAUAGGGAUAGUUGGGGGUAUUUAUAUUCCGAUGUCAGAGGUGAAAUUCUUAGAUUUUCGGAAGAUAAACUUAUGCGAAAGCAUUUACCAAGGAUGUUUUCAUUAAU